rnacentral:misc_RNA from 1 species
GUAGGUGAACCUGCGGAAGGAUCAUUAACGAAUAUAAUUCGAGGGGUUGUCGCUGGCCUCGCUCGCGCGAGGCAUGUGCACGCUUCUCGUUUUUCUCUCAACUCACCUGUGCACCUAAUGUAGGAUGCCUCUCCUCCGGGAGGGGGGACCUAUGUCUUCGUAACAUCUUCGUGUAGAAAGUCUUUGAAUGUUUACUAUCAUCGAGUCGCGACUUCUAGGAGACGCGAUUCUUUGAGAUAAAAGUUAUUACAACUUUCAGCAACGGAUCUCUUGGCUCUC